CUCCUCCAGUGCCCACCAUCUCUAACACCAGAGCCCACCAAAUCCAUCAACACCGUUUUUCCUUUGCUGUUGUCCACCGUUCUUCAAAAUCCCUUCCUGCCGAACUUCUCUCGAUUUCAAAUGGUAAGCAUUCCUUAAAUAUGAACCCGACGUUUUGUCUUUUGAGGCAACGUAUUCUCCUCUACCGCCUGUUUCUUUCCCUCCACCUCUCCUUUUGCGAGUGCGAUAUUUCGGACAAUAAAUUCUCAUUUCUCGAUGCUCCUACCUAUUGAGAAAUAAAGGCGCAAUUGAUAGGUUCUUAGCUUUUGCCGCCGAUGGGGAAAUCGAGGCGGUUGCCCCUGUGGACAUCGAUGGCAUGACUUCUACAAUUAUGUUAUUUGGAAUGGAGCUUUCAGAUUUUAGUGCGAAUCUACUAUGAAAACAACAAUAUCAAAGGCUACCAUUUCUGUAUGGGUAAGAAUUUUAUAGCGUUGGAAUUCAAGCACACCUAUUUUAAAGCCCUGGAAUUGAAUUUUAGCUUUGAUAAAAGUUCAAACCACAAAGCACAUGUAUUAUUAGAACUACCACACCUGAACAUUUUCACAAGGGAGAUUGGUUUUGUAGGGGCUACUGCAAUAGAUGUAUUUAAACUAGACCAUUCGAAAUGUUGAGUUAGACGAAUUUGAGAUAUGAUGGGCAACCAGGAGUGUACCUAGCAUUCCAGCCAUUUGGCCAAAGGUAUGAGAUGGCCAGUGGAUACUCACAAGACAAGUUUCCAUUUCAACACAAGCCUAACUUCAAGGGGUAACUAUGGUACAGAUACUGCCACAGGGUCAAAGAGAAGCCUGCCACCAUCUUGAAGAAAGUAUGGAAGAGGAAAAAUCCUUCGAGUGGUUAGAAUGCAGUGCAAGUAGGCGGCAAGGUUGACAAUUUUUCCAGUAGCCCUUAAAACUUAAAAGACUUGAUUUUAAUCUGAGAGUCAAUGGCAUAUGAUGCUGGAAACUGGUGUUGGAAACACUAGGUGGACAAUAAACUGACAGGUGUAUUCAACGGAAGUCUGUAAUUGUUGAUAUUCAAGAUACCUGUUUUAAAUUGAUUGUUUGUGACUUACUAUAAAUGGGUUGGCUUAGCUUACAAAUGCUAGACAUCUUGCUCUCUUUCGAAAUACACGUUUUGAGGAUAUCAGGGUUCUUAAGUUUAAAAGGGAUACCAGUUGCAAGAUGUGUAAUCCUUAAAAUCGGGAGCCCUUGUGGACUUCGAUCUCCAGGCUGUAGCUAUGGGAUAUAUGUUCAUCUUCAUAUUGUGUUCCCGCAGGUAUGGAUGGAAGACUUGUUGGAUGGAUGUCUAGUUUCUUUAUGACAUAAGAUCCUCUAUGCUCAAAAGAGAUUGUUUGAAACUUUUUUUUUUUGAUCAGCGAGAUUGUGUGAAACUUUAGUAACGCUAUAUUAAACAUAACACAUUAUUCAUGCACUCUAAUUUCUGUACCUUUCUCAUGUCAACAUAGAAAGGUAUGCACAGGCCAUUAUAUGAUUGAAGUUAUUACAAUUUUUUUCAAUCGUUGGAUGGGGAAUCAAGAACCUCUCACAUGACGAUCCCUCGGACGAUUCCUAAUGUGAUAUGUAA